AGAGCCGGCCGGGCGGUCGCGACGGGUCCCAGGACCCGCCGAGGAACGUCCGGGCUCCACAGAGCAGGGUGGUGGGUAACGCCCACCCGGGGUGACCCGCGGGACAGUGCCACAGAAAACAGACCGCCCGCCGCUUCGGCGACGGGUAAGGGUGAAACGGUGGUGUAAGAGACCACCAGCGACCGGGGUGACCCGGCCGGCUAGGUAAACCCCACCUGGAGCAAGGUCAAGAUCGGCGCCCCAGGGCGCUGUGCGCGGAUGCUUGAGGGCUGCUCGCCCGAGUCCGCGGGUGGACCGCACGAGGCUGUCGGCAACGGCAGCCCUAGAUGGAUGACCGCCUCCCCGGCCCGCGCGAGCGGCCCGGGAGACAGAACCCGGCGUACAGGCCGACUCUUCCG
rnacentral:RNase_P_RNA from 1 species